rnacentral:lncRNA from 1 species
UAAUUUUUAUACGCCCGUCAAAAUUUUGACGGGACGUAUUAUGGUAUACAAAUGUCCGGUGUCCGUCCGUCCGUCCGUCCGUCCGUCUGUCUGUCUGUCCGGCGUAAACAUGUCGCACCGUAACUUGAGAACGACUUAUCUAAAUUUCAUGAAACUUAAUAUAGUUGUUUUUUAUGAUGGUCAAAUGAUCUGUAUACUUUUUGGUGAAAAUAAGAUUUAAACUUUUUGAGUUACGGCACUUUGUAACUAAAACAGGGGUGUGUUUUUUUUUCACAUGUCGCACCGUAUCUCAAAAACGAUUCUUGAUUAUUGCUUAAAACUUUACACACUUCUCAGUUAUAUUAAUCUUAAGAUUUGUAUACUUUUUGGUGAUGUUCAAAAUUUCAUUUUUGAGUUAUUGAGUAUUUUGUAAAAAAGGGGGAGGGGGUUUUUACAUGUCGUGCCGUAUCUCAAAAACGAUUUAUGAUUAUUGCUUAAAACUUUACACACUUCUUUGUUAUAUUAAUCUAAAGAUCUGUAUACUUUUUGGUGAUGACUCAAAAUUUUAUUUUUGAGUUAUUGAGUAUUUGGUAAAAAAGGGGAGGGUUUUUUUUCUACAUGUCGCGCCGUAUCUCAAAAACAAUUUAUGAUUAUUGCUUGAAACUGUACACACUUCUUUGUUAUAUUAAUCUAAAGAUCUGUAUACUUUUUGGUUUGAUUCAAAAUUUUAUUUUAGUGAUAUUUGUAAAAAAAAAAACAGGGUGGGGGGUUUCACAUGUCCCGCCGUGUCUCAAAAGCAAUAAAUGGUAAUUGCUUAAAACUUUCUCAGAAACUAUUUAUGAUUAUUGCAUAAAACUUCCACACAAGACGUCGGGCGUAUCAUGCGCUCAUGGCGCAGCUGUUUAUUGAUGAAAUCAUACAAAGUUUAAUUUUAGACCCUUUUGGCCCCUAAUUCGUUGGGACCAAAACUCCCAAAAUCAAUCCAAACCUUCCUUUUGUGGUCAUAAAACUUGUGAUAAAAUUUCAUAGAUUUCUAUUAACUUAUACUAAAGUUAUUGUGCAAAAAACAAGAAAAAUGCUAAUUUUGGGACCUGUUUUUGGCCCCUAAUUCCUAAACUGUUGGGACUUAAACUCCCAAAAUCAAUCCCAACCUUCCUUUUGUGGUCAUAGACCUUAUG